rnacentral:rRNA from 1 species
UUAUCGGAGAGUUUGAUCCUGGCUCAGGACGAACGCUGGCGGCGUGCCUAAUACAUGCAAGUCGAGCGGAUUGAYGGGAGCUUGCUCCCRUCARUCAGCGGCGGACGGGUGAGUAACACGUGGGUAACCUGCCUGUAAGACUGGGAUAACUCCGGGAAACCGGGGCUAAUACCGGAUAACUCAUUUCCUCGCAUGAGGAAAUGUUGAAAGGUGGCUUUUAGCUAUCACUUACAGAUGGACCCGCGGCGCAUUAGCUAGUUGGUGAGGUAACGGCUCACCAAGGCGACGAUGCGUAGCCGACCUGAGAGGGUGAUCGGCCACACUGGGACUGAGACACGGCCCAGACUCCUACGG